rnacentral:rRNA from 1 species
UACAGAGGUCUCGAGCGUUGUUCGGAUUCAUUGGGCGUAAAGGGUGCGUAGGUGGCGCUGUAAGUCGGGUGUGAAAUCCUGAGGCUUAACCUCGGAACUGCAUUCGAUACUGCGGCGCUUGAGGACUGGAGAGGAGACUGGAAUUCAUGGUGUAGCAGUGAAAUGCGUAGAGAUCGGCAGGAACACCCAGGGGGAAACCAGUCGACUGGGCAGCACCUGACGCUGAGGUGCGAGAGCGUGGGGAGCGAACCGG